rnacentral:rRNA from 1 species
UGCCCUACAGUUSCCCGUCCGGGAACAAGGAGCUGGUAUCAGGCGCCCSCCAUUGAGCCCACAACACCUUGCUUAGCCACACCCUCAAGGGAACUCAGCAGUGAUAGACAUUAAGCCAUAAGUGAAAACUUGACUUAGUUAAAGCUAAGAGGGCCGGUAAAACUCGUGCCAGCCACCGCGGUUAUACGAGAGGCCCAAGUUGACAAACACCGGCGUAAAGCGUGGUUAAGUAAAAACUCACACUAAAGCCAAACAUUUUCCAGGCUGUUAUACGCAACCGAAGACAGGAAGCUCAACCACGAAAGUGGCUUUAUCUAAUCUGAACCCACGAAAGCUAAGGAACAAACUGGGAUUAGAUACCCCACUAUGCCUAGCCCUAAACAUUGAUAGUACUAUACACCCACUAUCCGCCCGGGAACUACGAGCAAUAGCUUAAAACCCAAAGGACUUGGCGGUGCUUUAGAUCCCCCUAGAGGAGCCUGUUCUAGAACCGAUACCCCCCGUUCAACCUCACCCUUCCUUGUUUAACCCGCCUAUAUACCGCCGUCGUCAGCUUACCCUGUGAGGGACUAAUAGUAAGCAAAACUGGUACAGCCUAAAACGUCAGGUCGAGGUGUAGCGUAUGGAGGGGGAAGAAAUGGGCUACAUUCGCUGUACAGCGAAUACGAUGAUGCACUGAACGUUCAUCUGAAGGAGGAUUUAGCAGUAAGCNG